CCAGACUCCUACGGGAGGCAGCAGUGGGGAAUAUUGGACAAUGGACCAAGAGUCUGAUCCAGCAAUUCUGUGUGCACGAUGAAGUUUUUCGGAAUGUAAAGUGCUUUCAGUUGGGAAGAAAGAAAUGACGGUACCAACAGAAGAAGUGACGGCUAAAUACGUGCCAGCAGCCGCGGUAAUACGUAUGUCACGAGCGUUAUCCGGAUUUAUUGGGCGUAAAGCGCGUCUAGGUGGUUAUAUAAGUCUGAUGUGAAAAUGCAGGGCUCAACUCUGCAUUGCGUUGGAAACUGUAUAACUAGAGUACUGGAGAGGUAAGCGGAACUACAAGUGUAGAGGUGAAAUUCGUAGAUAUUUGUAGGAAUGCCGAUGGGGAAGCCAGCUUACUGGACAGAUACUGACGCUGAAGCGCGAAAGCGUGGGUAGCAAACAGGAUUAGAUACCCUGGUAGUCCACGCCGUAAACGAUGAUUACUAGGUGUUGGGGGUCGAACCUCAGCGCCCAAGCAAACGCGAUAAGUAAUCCGCCUGGGGAGUACGUACGCAAGUAUGAAACUCAAAGGAAUUGACGGGGGCCCGCACAAG
rnacentral:rRNA from 1 species